rnacentral:pre_miRNA from 1 species
CUCUGGACGCAGCGGUUUAUCGAUCUCUUCCUGGCCUUGUUGGUCCCUCUUUCAUGGUGGAUUAGAUCGAUUGCUCCUUUCUGUUUGAGGUUACAAAGCGGGAAUCGGUCGAUAAACCUCUGCAUCCGGA